UACGUAGGGGGCUAGCGUUGUCCGGAAUCAUUGGGCGUAAAGAGCGUGUAGGCGGCCCGGUAAGUCCGCUGUGAAAGUCGGGGGCUCAACCCUCGAAUGCCGGUGGAAACUGUCGGGCUAGAGUGCGGAAGAGGCGAGUGGAAUUCCUGGUGUAGCGGUGAAAUGCGCAGAUAUCAGGAGGAACACCGAUUGCGAAGGCAGCUCGCUGGGACGUAACUGACGCUGAGACGCGAAAGCGUGGGGAGCAAACAGG
rnacentral:rRNA from 1 species